rnacentral:rRNA from 1 species
AGAACGAACGCUGGCGGCAUGCCUAAUACAUGCAAGUCGAACGAGACCUUCGGGUCUAGUGGCGCACGGGUGCGUAACGCGUGGGAAUCUACCCUUGGGUUCGGAAUAACAGUUGGAAACGACUGCUAAUACCGGAUGAUGACGAAAGUCCAAAGAUUUAUCGCCCAGGGAUGAGCCCGCGUAGGAUUAGCUAGUUGGUGAGGUAAAGGCUCACCAAGGCUACGAUCCUUAGCUGGUCUGAGAGGAUGAUCAGCCACACUGGGACUGAGACACGGCCCAGACUCCUACGGGAGGCAGCAGUAGGGAAUAUUGGACAAUGGGGGGACAACCCUGAUCCAGCAAUGCCGCGUGAGUGAUGAAGGCCUUAGGUUGUAAGCUCUUUACCCGAGAUGAUAAUGACAGUAUCGGAAGAAUAAGCUACCGGCUAACUCCGUCGCCAGCAGCCGC